AGAAGAUAGUAAAGUGGCGAACGGGUGAGUAACGCGUGGGUAAUCUACCUUCGAAUCGGGGAUAACGUUGCGAAAGCGAUGCUAAUACCGGAUAAUAUUCUUUGGACUUUGGUCCUUUGAAUCAAGGGUGGCCUCUUCAUGAAAGCUACUGUUUGAAGAUGAGCCCGCGUACCAUUAGCUUGUUGGUGGGGUAAUGGCCUACCAAGGCUUCGAUGGUUAGCUGGUCUGAGAGGAUGAUCAGCCACACUGGAACUGACACACGGUCCAGACUCC
rnacentral:rRNA from 1 species